rnacentral:rRNA from 1 species
UAACACGUAUCCAACCUGCCCUUUACUCGGGGAUAGCCUUUCGAAAGAAAGAUUAAUACCCGAUAGUAUAAUGAUUCCGCAUGGUUUCAUUAUUAAAGGAUUCCGGUAAAGGAUGGGGAUGCGUUCCAUUAGGUUGUUGGUGAGGUAACGGCCCACCAAGCCUUCGAUGGAUAGGGGUUCUGAGAGGAAGGUCCCCCACAUUGGAACUGAGACACGGUCCAAACUCCUACGGGAGGCAGCAGUGAGGAAUAUUGGUCAAUGGGCGCUAGCCUGAACCAGCCAAGUAGCGUGAAGGAUGAAGGCUCUAUGGGUCGUAAACUUCUUUUAUAUAAGAAUAAAGUGCAGUAUGUAUACUGUUUUGUAUGUAUUAUAUGAAUAAGGAUCGGCUAACUCCGUGCCAGCAGCCGCGGUAAUACGGAGGAUCCGAGCGUUAUCCGGAUUUAUUGGGUUUAAAGGGAGCGUAGGUGGACUGGUAAGUCAGUUGUGAAAGUUUGCGGCUCAACCGUAAAAUUGCAGUUGAUACUGUCAGUCUUGAGUACAGUAGAGGUGGGCGGAAUUCGUGGUGUAGCGGUGAAAUGCUUAGAUAUCACGAAGAACUCCGAUUGCGAAGGCAGCUCACUGGACUGCAACUGACACUGAUGCUCGAAAGUGUGGGUAUCAAACAGGAUUAGAUACCCUGGUAGUCCACACAGUAAACGAUGAAUACUCGCUGU